rnacentral:lncRNA from 1 species
UUUUUGUUGCGAAAACGAGAGGGAAACGUCUGGUUGCUUAGGAAUGAGGAGAUUAGCUGGUGAUUCUCUUGAGGAGGUUACAGAUCUUUUUUUGGUUGUUACUGGAGAGGCGAGAUAAGCUUGAGGGGCAAGACAACUUGAGAAAAAAAAAUAUUGAGAAAGAUUACCAAAGAAGGGAAUAGAGUUGCAGGGGAAAAGGAAGCUGAAGAAAAUCAACUGAGGAAAGGGAAGGUAAGGAGAAGAAAGAAAAGGAAAAUUUGAGUGAGGUGAAUAUUUUUUGGAGGGUUACAAAGAAGAAGAGAAACCAAAGGAAAAGAGCAAAGGGAUGGUACAGCCAGAUGACAGUUCGUGGGUUUUCUGGGGAACUUCUAGAGAGAGAAUAACAAGAAGUCCAGCACACCUUGUUGGAGAGGAUCACUUUCAGGUAUGUUUAUUGUGGAUUUCCCAUUCAUUCCCACCGGUAUGUUCUUCUUCUCUUUUUCUGCUGAUUCUUGGAUGUUGUUUGUUGAUUGGGAGUAGACAUUGAAGAUUACAUGUUUGUUUCUACUGAUCUCUAUGUUGUUUUGUUUGUGUUAUAUCAUGUUCAUAUCUCUCUUUUUAAUGGUUUUUGUUGAGAAUCAGUUUGGCCCUGUUUAAGUUUCCUCAUGAGAUAUCUGCAACCAUGUUUUGAUUUUCAUUUAAUACCCGUUUAAUUUCAUUCACCCAUAUCUAAGCCCGUUGAUUGAAAUGUGAAACGUGGCUUGUACGGAUUUAUUUAUUUAUUUUUCUACCCAUGGUGCCCUGUUUUGUUGUCUUCCCCUAUUCCUGGUACCCGUCCAUGGUAUGCAUCAAUUUUCUCAUUUAUGUCUGAGAGAGCAAGGAACUAUAGAGGAUGUAUUCUUAGUAUGUGAGUAGGAAAGGUUACAGCAUCACAUCCAGCAAUGUCAAUGGACCCAUUUCAACUGUUGUUUCUGAAGUUGAUAGGGUCCAGAAUUUGGAUGUGUCAAAAUCCUUAAUGAGCAAAAACAAGUUGUACCAGAGGUAUCUCAAAAGGAGACACAGGGCAUGCAAAGUUACACUCCUUCCUCAAAGACACGUACUAAGGUGUAAUGGCAGGGAGUAGCAGUCGGUCGUGCUAUUGACUUGACUGCAUUGGAAGGAUAUGAUGAGCUUAUAAGUGAGCUGGAGAAAAUGUUCGAGAUCAAAGGAGAGUUUUGCCAUCGGAAUAAAUGGGAAGUUGUUUUCAUUGAUGAUGAAGGAGAUAUGAUGCUUGCGGGUGAUGAUUCAUGGCAGUUCACAGGCACCAUAGUUGGAAUUGGAGAUAUUUCUCCUUAGUGGUCAAAUUCUAAAUGGCGUUCAUUGAAGAUUCAAUAGGAUGAACCUACAACCAUUCAAAGACUAGAGAGGGUAUCUCCAUGGGAUAUAGAGCCUUUUUUAGCUUCUGCUUCAUUCAACCUUACUCAACCACCAGUAAAGAUCAAGAGGCCUGGGCCUCUUGAUCUUCCAUUUGCUGAAAAUACUUCCAGUUUAGUUCCUUCCCUUUUCUGGUAUACUGUAUCAGCCCUAUCUCAUGAACUAAUCCAGUUAGGUGGUGUGACUGAAAUCCAAAACAAUGAAAUCCAGGUACUCCGACCUCCGAAGCUAAAAGAAAUUGAUGGUAAUGUUAUCCACAACAGCAACUGUGGCAGCUCCAUCAGGCAGCCCGAAGACAUAUGGUUUUCUUUUCUUUCAGUGAACGUCUCUUUAAACCUGUUCCAGGACUUAACAGAAGACAACAACACUGUGUCAACAAGAUCUAUUCUAUGUGGCUACAACAUUUCUUUGUCAUCAAGGCCUAACAAUGACCUAAUAUCUUAUCAGGUUGAAAAAAAGAAACAAAUUGAAGCUUUUAUUGACUACUGAUUGUUUGGGAUUGAUCUGACAAAUAGCUCUAAGGACACUACUCUUCUGGAGAUGUCAUGUCCUAGUUAUUCUAUGAGGUUGGACUCCAUCCUGGUGUUCUAAAUGUGGAUUUCGGAUUUGGUCCUACAGUUGGGGCAGCUAUUUCCAGUCAUAUGGAUGUGGACAAACGCUUCAAGAUCUUUCGCUUUUGGGAUUUUCCAAGCGUCGAUGAUUUUUUUUUCAGGGAGCAUUUGUAAAUAAUUUUCCAAAUCUCGGUUUUUCAAAUAACUCAACUCUUUAAUUUUUCAUUCUUAGAAUUUUUAAGUCAUAAAAAUCUCAUUUUCAAUAAAAUUUUGCUGCCAUUUUUUUUCCGGCAAGCAAUUUUUACACUUUCCUUGUUUUUUUAAAUGUUUUAAAAUAAGCAUGAAUUCAAUUAUGUAAUUCCAAAUGUUGGAAUUUAUGAAAUUGAUUCAUGCAAAAAUAAACCGGGCUUUGGUGGGGGCCCAACAUCAGUGAUAUUUUUUUUCAUUGACUGAUUUAUCGUCAUGCUUGAUUGAUUUACUUUGUGACACGUGCAAUUAUUCUGUUUUCGUUUACUAACCUUUGUUUUCCAUUAAGCAAUCAUCUUAUUACUCAAGUACACUCUUUGUCUCUCUUGUUCAUUCGCUUAUUUUUAGAUUGAUAUUCUUUGGGUACCCAUGUUUGAUCAAUCAAUUGUCAUACGUGUUUCAUUUUAUUUAGUAGAGACUCAUUUUAGGGUCUUAGAGGGGUGCUAUGGUUUUUAUCGUACAUUCUCAAUAAGUAACCUGACCCCUAAGCCCAAAUUUGGUUUUUUUCACAAACCACCUUUUCCAAAUAAGGAGUCACACUUAAAAUUUUCUUUCUUAUUUUGUUUUCCUUUUAAAAAUAAAACAAAAAUAAGUGGCAACUCUAAGUCAUUUUCUAAAAAAUAAAUCUUUUUCAAAUAAAAAGUGAGUUCUCCAUCGAGUGGAAGCGCAUGAGUAGAAAUACAGGGUCCAAAAAAUGGCAACUCCACUAGGGAUCACUAGAGGGUCAAGCUUAAACAUAAGUUGGGGCAAAUGUGGCAUUUGAUUGGUCAAUCAAUAGGUACACACCUCUCUUUGUGCUUUUAUUUGCUUGAUUGUUGAUUGCAUAUUGAAAGCUUUUGAUAUCAUUAUCCUUGAUGCAUGUUUGGUUAUUGUAUUCGUUUGAGGCAUUGGUAUGUUGAUUAUAUUGAUUGAUCAUUUUGCCUAUCCUCGCAUAUUGACUCUCAUUGCUGUAUGAUUACUUUACUCAUCCCGACUUGUAUAUUCUUAGUGUUGUUUAUAUUUUUCAUCUUAAUAUCUUGAUUUUUUCUAUUAUACACCAUUUUGAUCACCUCUGAGCAUGCCAUUUAUUCUUGUUAUAUAUUCAUCAUGAUUUUCAUAUUCUUGAUUAGCUUGUGCGUGGACAUGGAUGAUAUAUCUGUGCUUUGCUUGACUGUCUGUUGCAUGACUGCUUUUCUCCUGUGUGAUUACAUGUUGUUUGUCUGUGUGGGUUGCACAUCUAUCCCCUUACCUCCAACCCUCUAGUUUCAAUCAUUUCCUUCAUUUUGGUUCUCACUUUUUCAAGUGUGAGGCCUUAUGUGUGCUUGUUCCUCUGACCGAGCUAGAUGUUAGGAGUAAGGUUUAGCGACGGGCUAUAUCGAUGUUUGGGAGCAUUCUAAAGCAGGCCGACACACUGAUGCUAAUCAAAGUCUGAUCUUUGAAGACCUGUAUAGCCUAGAGCUAGGUUUCAUGGAUAUUUGUACGAUCAAUGUGUUUCAUCUUUUGCUUUAGUUUCAUAAGAUUUUCGAAUGCACCCACACCGCUCACUAUGCACUUUAGUUGACUAUUGAGCAUUGAGAGCUAUGAGAACUUUCGUCAUAGGAAACCCCCUAGGAUGUCGAGGUAGUGCAUGUGUGGAGGUGAUGACCACCUUGCAUGGAAGCACCCCGUCUCUUCAGAGGCGUGCAGAGGGUUGCGUAUUGCCAGAGGGUAUGAUCGCUUCUGCUAGGGAUCUUUUAAAGUCCACCCAUAUCCUUUUAGAGCCACCCUGACCUUAUAGGUUAAGCUUUAGAUCCUUCGUCUAAGAUUUCCCUCCCUACACGUGGGUGCAUCUAAGGGCCUUCAGAGCCUCUAUGGCUACAGUUUGGGUUCAGUACUUCCUCUUUUGGUCUCUAGUUAAGAGUGCACAGAAAUUAGUACAAGUUUGAGUUACAGUCGAACAGUCUGUCUACACUUUGAUGUCUUGCUCAUUUCAGUUCAGAUUAGUAUAUCUUCUGUGUUUUUCCCAUGCCAUACUUUUAUUUCGUUCUUCAUGCUUUCCAGGAUCGACUAUUCAUUCUCAGUCGGGAUUUACCAUUUUGGGUUAGAUUAGAGGGAGAUUAGUUCGAUUUUCUGAAAGAUUAGACAUGAAUCAACAAGUUGUCAUGGUUGACCAGUUCACGAUCGCCAUGACUUCUAUUCAGGAGGCCUUAGCUAAUCUCAGGCAGGAGAUAGGCAGUUAGCAGAGUAGACCGCCCAUAGUUCAGGAUGAAAUGCCUUAUGAUUCAUUGUCACUUCCACCACCACCACCUGGUCCUACAAUGCCACAGGCCCUACCAUAUAUAUUACAUUCAUUCUGAGGUUGUUCCACCUGCAGUAGUACGGACCACAGUCAUUGAGGAUACUCACGCACGCAUGGACCGUAUUGAGCAGCGUAUCAUACAAUUGAGGGUAUCUGACAGUUCAACAGCUUGGGAUGAUCUUGAGGAUAUACCAGUGGCCAGUUUACCGAUCAAGUUUAGGAUGCCUGAGAUUAAGAGGUACACGGGCAUUGGUUGUCAUUGCAUUCACCUUCGACUUUAUAGUACAAUGAUAAGGGCCCAUGGGUUAGAUGAGUCAUAGAUGAUCACCUUGUUCCCAUUAUCUCUGAGUGAAGUGGCCUAGCAUUGGUUCGCAUAUUUGGAGUCCUUACGAUGCAGGACAUGGGACGACUUAACCCAGGAGUUUUUGCAACAGUUUUCAUUUAAUAUUGUCAUAGAUGUGUCGAGGAGAGAGCUUGAGGCUUGGAGAUAGAGAUUGGAUGAGUCUGUUUCUUCCUUCCUUUCCUGCUGGCAGGGGAAGAUAGCAAAGAUUGUAGAUAGACCAUCAGAGAGAGACCAGAUACAUAUGGUUUUGAGGAGUCUAUAGCCCAGGAUUGUUAGACAUGUGGUCAGACCCUUUGCAGACUUCAGUGCUUUGGUUUUAGCUUUGUAUGAUGUUGAGGAUGUCAUUUCGGGAAGAUUAUGGAUAGAUUCUUCCAUUGUUGAUGCUAAGGGGAAGAAACCAUCCGGAGAGCAUAGAUCAGCUGAAGUGGGCACUGAUGUGGGCACUAUCACUUCUACUAGUCAGAGGCCUCCCAGGCGUCAUCAGCCAGUACCAUAGCCUACUGGGACUCACCCUUCUUAUCAUCUUCAAUAGUAUAGGCCACGAGCACCUCCUCAGUUAUAUGAUCAGACCUACUUGCCUCCCAUACUAGCAUUGCCUUACUAUGCCGCAUAGGGCACAGAGAGACCUUCUGCUUCAUAUCCUACCCCAGCACAGCCAUGCUACGCAACACAGAUUGUCGCGAGACCUACAACUUCCUAUCCUAGACCUAUAACUCCAUAGACUUCAGCUCAUUUUGCUUUGAAGACAUAGAGACAAUUUUUACAAUUGAGUAUGUCAUUGAGCCAGGCUCAUCAGAAGCUCACAAAUGCUGGAUUGUUGAUAACUCUUGCUCUUAGGCCAUUGCCUUAGCUUGUCCUGCCACAGUUCAUGAUGGAUUUACAUUGUGCAUAUCAUCAAGAGCCAACGCACGAGACAAACCAUUGUAUUACUUUGAGACAUGCCAUCCAAGAUUUGAUUAAUCAGGGUUUGGUUCACUUGGGUCAGCCGAGUGUAACCACAAACCCAUUAUCGACCCAUACUACACACACAGUUCCUCCUCCAGCCAGUGACAUACAUUUCAUUGACUUUGUUGAGCUUGAUGAUCAUAUCCACAUACUGAGUUGGGAUGAGUCAGAGUCGGAGCCUAUAGUAACAGAUGGGAUCAUUGGGGGAUUUAGUACUGUUUAGGAGGUCGAGCUUCAGCGUCUUGUCCAUCAACUGCAGUUGAGUGAUGGAGCUCCUGGCGCUUUUACGUCUACAUUGGCCGCCCCAUCAUUUCCAAAUUAUAUGAGCCUCAUAACACUCUAUUUCCCGGAUGAGGUCGAUAAGCAUGAGACAUUUGCCGAGAUUGGGGACAUGGUGGAUGGGGCUAUUCCACAUGACGAGUACAUCGAUGAGAUGCUCACGAUGAGUAUAACCUAGAUCGAUGGGAUAGUUUAGCCUGAGUUAAUUUGCCAUUUGAUCUAUUUAAGGUGUUCGUCAUUGAAGUUGUAGAGGAGAUCUAUACUACUAUUGUUAUGGAGUUUUCAUAUGAUGUUAUAGUUGUUGAUGAUUUGUUUGAGGGCACUACUGGCCCAGUUGAGGGAGUGUCCAACUUUGUGGACCCACCUCUUUCAUUUGAUGUUUUAUCGGGAUUUGUCUCCCGUUCUGACGAUGUUCAUGAUUUUUUAUUUAUGAAUUUGAGCAUUUUUUAGUAUCUUCCUAUCUCUUGUGAUAUCACUUUGUUUGCACUCUCUUCACCCAUAUUACAGAUAUUUGAUAUAGAUGAUGAGAUUUCAUAACAUGAUUCAGAUGAUGACUCAUCUUCUACUUUUGAUCCAGGCCCCAUUGAUCAGAGAGUUUCACCUGCUACAGGAGAUACAAUGGUUGUUGAUUUUGGUAUAGCAGAUCGGCUUAGGGAGUUGAAGAUCGGAUUGGACUUAUCUACAAAUAAGAUAAAUAACCUCAUCUAGUUGCUUAGAUCUUAUUUGAAUGUUUUCGCAUGGUCUUACGAGGACAUGCUAGGCCUUGAUCCAUCUAUAGUCCAACAUCGUUUACCAUGACAGACCAGUUAAGUAGAAGUUGAGACAAUUGCACCCUAGUUGGAGUUUGCAGGUAAAGGAGGAGAUUCAGAAGUAGCUCAGUGUAGGAUUUUUAUCAGUGGUCGAGUAUCCCAAGUGGUUGUCCAAUGUCGUCCCUAUUCCCCAAAAGAACGGCAAUGUGAGAGUUUGUGUUGAUUUUCGAGAUUUUAACAAGGCCAGUCCUAAGGAUGAUUUUCCUUUCCCACACAUUGACAUGCUAGUUGAUAGUAUGGCAGGUCAUUCGAUGUUGUACUUUAUGGACGGAUUUUUUGGGUACAAUAAGAUUCUGAGGGCUCCAGAGGACAUGGAGAAAACGUCUUUCAUUACCGAGUGGGGUACUUAUUGCUAUAGAGUCAAUACAUUCGGGUUGAAGAUUGUAUGAGCUACCUAUCAAAGAGCAACGACCAAUUUCUUCUAUGACAUGAUGCAUCGGGAUGUUGAGGUUUAUGUAGAUGACAUGAUAGUGAAAUCACGAGAUAGAGCAGAUCACCUAGCAGCUUUGGAGAGAUUCUUUGAGAUCAUCAAACAGUUCAGACUGAGACUGAAUCCCAAGAAGUGCACUUUUGAAGUGACUUAUGGGAAACUGAUGGGAUACAUGGUCAAUGAAAGGGGUAGAGAGGCAGAUCUAGAUAAGAUCAAAGUCAUCCUUGACAUGCCUGCACCGAGGACCGAGAAAGAGAUCAGAGGCUUCUUAGGUAUACUUCAGUACAUCAGUAGAUUCAUUGCUAGAUUGGUAGACCUCUAUAAGCCCAUUUUUCGACUUUUGAAGAAGAGUCAACCUACUGUUUGGGAUGAUCAGUGCCAAUGCACAUUUGAGAGGAUCAAAGAGUACUUGUUGUCACCUCCAGUUUUGGUGCUUCCUACACCAGGUCGUCAUUUACUGUUAUACUUGUCAGUCUCAGACGUAGCUGAUUACUACUCAAAAAGUGCUAUUUUGUAGCUUGUAAUUAAUCCUUUUAAACACUUUUGAGUAGUAGUUAUUGCCUUUUAACUCAAUUAACAUGUUAAGGACCAUUGCAAUCAUUUCUAAUCAAAUUGUGUAAGUUUUGAUGUUUUUGUUAGUAAUUUGAUCACCAAAACAAUCCAAGAAUGAAGGAGAAUUGUAUAUAGUUCAUGGCAAAGCAAUGAAGAGCUCAAAUUCAUGAAGAACCAAGCUUUGGAGCUCCAUAGUCCUUUGCCAUAGUCGUUCAAAGUAUGCAAGGAGAGAAGCAAGGAAAGAGGAAAAACAGAGUGAAGAAAACAGAGGAAAGCUAGCUGCAGUCUUCUUUUGCACUUUUGGAGCACUUCCCGAAGUCCAUUUUCUACAUUCUAUAUACCAUUUCAAAGCUCAGGAAGUCAAGAAUCCAAUGCUUCAAACGGUGCACGAUUCAGAGUUGAAACGAAGGAGUUACAGCCAUUUCAAGCAGAUCACUCCAAAGUGUUGCGGAAUCAGCCUUUUGUUGCGAGAAUUUCGCAGCCUUUUUGUACAGUGCUAUGGAAUUCCUCCUGAAGCUACCCGAUACAUGCCGCAAGCUGGAACGCUGAGAACCUCAAGGAGGAAGCCAAUUUCGCAGCCCUGCGAGUUUAACUUGUUGUUGCAAAAAUAUUUCGCAGCUCUCUUAAGUGUCUGCGAAAUCUCGCAGACACCAUUUUCUCCUGCGAAAUGGUCCUUAGUGCUUCCCGAUAUUUGCCACCGACUCUUUUGGAUAUUUUUCUUCAGAUAUUUUUGUAUAAAUUUCCAUUCUUCUCCUUGUAAGCCACCAACCAUAAGAUUUCUUAGCUAGGAAGGUUGGAAAAACUCCUCUAUAUAUAUUCCUUUGCAUCCACUGUAAUCAUAUCAUCAUAUAUGUAAUAUCGAUCAAUAUAUAGAAUAUACAGAGCCUUGCUCUGUUUUUCCUUCUCUUUCAUUUUUCAUUUCUUUUUCUUUCUAGCCAACCAAACUCUGAGGAUUUUUCCACAGAGGAUGAGAGGCUAAGCUUUUUGUCUCUUGGAGUGAAGAAAGCCGGGUAAGUUUCCACAUGCAUAAUUUGGAAGUUUUGUUGUUUUAGUUUUUAAUGAAGAGAAAGUGUAACCCGUUAGUGAUUUCUAUGUUUUUAGUUAACUUAAAACGCCUUUAAAUCACCUGGGCCAACACUUGGUAAGGCAAGUGAUCUCCGUCCAUGGAGAUGCACUAGUUUACCCCUUGCGAGCCUUUGGGAGGUGACUUGAAGGUAGGAUUUUCUAGAAUAGCCAACACUUGGUAAGCUUUUGGACUCCAAGGAGACAUCCAUUAGUUAUCUCUUGUGAGCUUUUGACGGGUAAUCCAAGGUUAAAGAUCACUUUGAAUGGCAAGUGUUAGGUGAGAGGUAUGAGCCAUUGCAAAGUGCAUCAGUGAGAGGGAUUUAGUGUUUGAAUCCAUUAAUGGGAAGCAUCUGUACAACACCGGUUAGAGAAUUAACUAUAUGUUAAUUCUCUAAUGCGAGGAAAAGAAACAAGUGACCGGAACUCCCUUUUUGUAUGAGGAAUCUGAGCCUAUCGAUCUGAACUCCAAGAAACACUUUUCUUUGUAGUUAAAAUCAGUUACUAUUUGUGGUUAGUUUAAAACCAAACCUUUUUCAUUUAAACAUCUUUAUGUUUUCUUUUAAAGCUAACCUUGGAAUGAAAAGGCACCAAUUCAGCUUUGAAUUGAUAUCAUUUGUGAAGUGAAAACUCAUCCCAGUGGACGAUCCUAGAGCCACUAUACUAUAGUAGCUUUGUCUUUGCUACCCUAGUAUAUGGUGUUAUAGGUUAUAAAUUUUGUUGAUUAAUCCCUCAAUCAAGGAGCACCAGCUGGACACGAAUCAGCUGGCACACCAACUGGGCAUGAAUCAAAUGGCGCCGUUGCCGGGGAUCGUACCCCGAAUCAAAUGGUGCCAUUGCCACUGCCGCUGCUAGGGACGAAUCAGUAGCUUCGGGUUGCAUGUUAGCUCAGCUCGAUGAUUCAGGAAAUGAGCGAACUAUUUAUUAUUUGAGUAAGAGAAUGUUAGAUUAUAAGACGAGAUAUGUCAUGAUUGAGCACUUCUACUUGGCAUUGGUUUGGGUUACUCGGAGACUAAGACAUUAUAUGACCGAGUAUUCAGUGCACUUGAUAUCCCGUUUAGAUCAUCUGAGAUAUUUGUUUGACAGACCCACUUUAGUUGGUCAACUCAUGAGAUGGUUGAUACUUCUGACUGAGUUUGAUAUCCAUUAUGUUACUCAAAAGUCUAUCAGAUGGAGCAUUGUUGCGAAUCACUUUGCCUCAUUACCAGUUUUCGAUGGUAGAGUUAUUGAUGAUGAUUUUCCAGAUGAGGAUGUUGCUACUGUGAUUAGUCUGUCAGGUUGCAUAUACUUUGAUGGUGCGGCCAACCAUUCUAGAUACGGGAUAGGUGUCUUGUUGAUAUCCCCUCAUGGUGACCACAUUCUUAGAUCUGUUCGUUUGGCAUUCUCAGAUCAACAUCCUGCCACGAACAAUAUUGUUAAGUAUGAGGCUUGAAUCUUGGGAUUAGAGACAACUCUUAAGCUCGGGAUUAGAUAGAUGGAGGUGUUUGGUGACUCCAAUCUGGCGUUGAGAUAGAUUCAAGAUGAGUGGAAGGCUAGAGAUGUGAAGCUUAGGCCUUACCAUGCAUACUUAGAGCUACUAGUUGGGAGAUUCGAUGAUCUGAGAUAUACACACCUACCUAGAGAACAAAACUAGUUUGUUGAUGUCUUAGCUACUCUAGCUUCCAUGAUUGAUAUUCUUGCUAAUACCGUUGUUCGCUCUUUACUAAUUGAGUCUAGAUCUGUUCCUACCUAUUGUUGUUUGCUUGAUGAUGCAAAGUUAGAUGAUGGCUUGACUUGGUACCAUGACAUAUACCGGUUUUUGAGACUUGGUGCAUAUCCUGAGGCCGCCAUGGCCAAAGAUAAGAGAGCAUUGAGACAGUUGGCUACCCGAUUUGUGAUUUGUGACAAGACUUUAUACAAACGAUUAGUUGAUGGGAUGUUGCUAUUGUGUCUAGACUGCGCCUUUACUAAUCGAGUAAUGAGAGAAGUUCAUGCGGGAGUUUGCGGACCACGCAUAGGAGGACAUUUGUUAGCCCGCAAGAUCAUGAGGACUGACUAUUUUUGGUUGACUAUGGAGACAGAUUGUUUCCAGUUUGUUUAGAGAUGUCUAGAGUGCUAGAUACAUGGGGACCUCAUUCACGUGCCACCUUCAGAGUUACAUGAACUGACUUCACCAUGACCAUUUUUCAGUAUAAGGUAUAGACAUUAUUAGGAAGAUUUCACCGAAGUCUUCCAGUGGUCAUGAGUUCAUCUUGGUUGCCAUUGAUUACUUCACCAAGUGGGUGGAGGUCGCCUCAUAUGCGAGAUUGACAUCAGUUAGGGUUGCUAGUUUCAUCAUAUCACACAUUAUCUGUUGUUAUGGAGUCCCUCAUGAGCUGAUUUCGGAUAAAAGAAUACAUUUCAAAGCAAAGGUUGACACUUUAUUACAUAGAUACGAUAUCCAGCAUCAUAGGUUGUUUGCAUACAGGCCACGAAUAAGAAUAUUAAGAAAAUCUUGCAGAGAAUGGUUGAGACUUCUCAGGAUUGGUCAAAGAAGCUCCCUUUUGUAUUGUGGGCUUAUCAAACAUCUUUUCACACCUUUAUAGGAAUCACACCCUACUCCUUGGUGUAUGGUAUGGAGAUAGUGUUACUAGUUGAGAUUGAGAUGGGUUCAUUGAGGAUAGCAUUAGAGCAGCAGAUUUCAGAGGCAGAUUGGGCUCAAACUCGAUUAGACCAACUCAAUCUCCUAGAUGAGAGGAGAUUGAGGGCAACAAACCAUGUUCGUGCCUACCAGAGGAAAAUGACCCGUGCUUUCAAGAAGCGGGUCAAGUCUAGAUCACUAUAGAUAGGUGACUUAGUUUUGAGGGUCAUCAAAGGAUUGAUCAAAGAUCCUAGAGGGAAGUUUAGACCCACUUGGAGCAAAUCUUACUUCAUUAGGGAGUUGACCCUGGAAGGCGCUGCAUGGUUGAUGGAUCUAGAUGGAAAUCAAUUCUCAGAGUUGACCAAUGUAGAUCAGCUAAAGAGGUACUACGUUUGAGACCAUGGUCGCAGGAUGGGUGGCCAUCAUUUCGGUUACUCAUAUACCCUUUCACCCUUUUGAUAUAUAGAUCGCUGCUAGCCCAUUGAGCCUCGCAUGUGCAUUAUAACCUUUCUUUCUUAUUGUCUUGGUCACAUUUUGGCACCGAGAUAGGGGUUUUUUAGCGUAUGCAUGCUUUGUUUAGGAGUUUUAUGAGCCUUAGACCUAUAGGCGCAUUCUUCUCAUUAUCUUUUCCUACCACUACAUUACUGCAUUUCAUCACAUCUCAUUGGUUGUGUUCUUCAUCUCAUCUUCUUUAUUACAUCUGUUGUUUGUUCUAUUUCAUUUUCUUCCACCCCGAGUGGUGAUCCUCCUCAGUUCAUUACAUGGAGGAUAGUCAUGUCAUUCUUGGCGUUCAAAGCCACUAUUUCUUUUCAGUUUGGCAUUCAAAGCCACCAUCUCUUCUCAGUUUUGGCGUUCAGAGCCACCAUAUCUUUUCAGUUUGAAAUUCAAAGCUAUCAGUCCAUAGUUUGGCAUUCAGAGCCACCAUUCCUUCUCAGUUUGGCAUUAAGAGCCACCUUCUUUUCAGUUUGGCGUUCAGAACCACCAUCUAUUCACAGUUUGGCAUUCAAAGCCACCAUCUCCUUAUAGGUCGACAUUCAGAGUCGUAUCUGCAAUUUGGUAUUUAGAGCCAUAUUUUUAGUUUGGCGUUCAGAGUCGUUGUUUGUUUUUAGUUCGACAUUCAAAGUCAUCCUGUCUUUCUUCCGUUUAACGUUCAGAGUCACAUCUUCAAUUUGACGUUUAGAGCCACACCUUCAAUUCAGCAUUCAGAGCCGCAACUUUAGUUGGCGUUUAGAGCCGUCGUUUGUCCUUAGUUUGAAAUUCAAAGCCAUCGUGUUUUUCUUUCGUUUGACGUUAAGAGUUGCAUCUUCAAUUCAGUGUUCAGAGUCACAUCUUUAGUUUGGCGUUUAGAGCAGUAUUUUCAUUUUGGCAUUCAAAGCCACAUCUUCAAUUAGGUGUUCAGAGUCGUUCAUUUCUAGUUCGACAUUCAGAGCCAUCAUAUCUAUUUCAGUUUUGUAGACCCUCAAUUUUAUCCUUUGACACUUGCAUUUAUCUUAGGGGUAUCACAUGCACCCAAUUUUUUUCCGUAUGGCACCGCCAUGGCCUCCUUUUGGGCUUGAUCGGUUUUUGAGCCUUGUGUAGGUUCAUCUAUGGUCUAAUGUAGUGUGAGUGUGUAGUUCAUUUUGGAGUGUCAUCAUGACCAAUUCCCUAGUUGUUCACAUCAUGAUAAAGGAAGGAAGUGAGGUCUCCCCAAAACUUCAGUUCAGUUGGAGUUCAUAGGAGCAAGUUCGAAUACGGAGCACUUGGGCUUGUUUCGAUCAUAUCUCUCUCAUCUGAACUUGGAAUCAUGUACCAUUUUUUUUAAGGACUCUUUGUUCUUCAAGGAAUAUUCUUUCAAAUUUUCAAAUUUUUUCUCAACUGGCUUGACUGGUUCCCAAAGUUUUAGUUCAGUUGGAGUUCAUUGGAGCAUGUCGAAAUUCAGAGCACUUGGGCUUGUUUCGAUCAUAUCUUCCUCAUCCAAACUCAAAAUCAUGUACCAUUUUUUUAUGGACUCCUUGUUCUUCAAGGAAUAUUCUGUCAAAAUUUCAAAAUUUUUCUCAACCGGCUCGACCGAUCCCCAAAGCUUUAGUUCAAUUGGAGACCAUGGCGGAACACACUAGAUUGUUUUAUUCAUUUCUCCCGCAUCCGAGUUCGGAAUUGCACACUAUUUCUUUUUUUUUGGAUUCCUUAUUAUUUAAGGAAUAUUGUGUCAAAAUUUGAGAAUUUUUCUCAAUCGGUCGACUGGAUGGGCAACCGGUUCAUCAAGUUUUUUUUUUAGGCGGUCGCCGGUUGGCAACCGAUUCAUCGGUUCGUCGGGGCUGCUUGCGAACGGCUCUGUUUUUAGCAUUUUUUGUGCCCUUGUUCAGGCAGGUUUGAGCCCUAGUGCUCCAGAUGGGUUAGGAGGAUGGUUUUAUGUUUGAUUUGGGCCAUUUUUUCGGGUUGAUUGCAACCCACCUUGAAUCCAUGUGGAUUCUUGGCGGGCAAUGAAUUAUGAAGUUAUAAGGGGCAGCUGCCCACCUUGGGAAGAUGGGAACUAAAUGAGUUGGGGUUUCAAGGCUGAAGGUGGGGAAUUCCAGAGCUGAAGAUGAAAGAAAAUGGGGUGGUACGGAUGCUGAGGAUGGAAGUUUGAAAGAAGGAAGAAAAUAUAAGACAUUUGGAAGAGAAAAAAGAGGGAGUUUUUGAGAAAUCUGGGUAGAAAGAUUCGGUAGAAUGAGAACUGAAAGCGUGGGGGAAAAUUCUAGGGGUCUCUAAGGGUUUGGCACCUAGAGAGAAAGAAAAGAAAGGAGAAAGAAAAAAAAACUGGAAAGAGAAGUUUGAGAGGCUUAAAGAAAAACAGAGAGAACGGGAAAAAGAAGAAAAGAAAGAAAACAGAGGUCUGAGAAGAGGGGGGAGUAGUUUUGAAGAAGAAGGGAUUCGUGAAGAGAAAGAAAAUAGAGAACAAAGAGAUGAGAGGUUUCCAACAUGGGAGGUUUUGAGAGAAGGGUUGAGAAAACAAGAAGCGGAGAGCGAGAAAGUAGAACUGGAAUCCAAACCUAUUCUUGCUUGAGAUGAGAACCUACAGGUAUAUUUGUUGUGAUUCACUUACUUGCUUCCAUUUAUCGCUCUAUUUUUCAUCCACUUUUGUGGCUCUUGAACAUUGUUGGAUAGUUUGGUUGUGAAAUUAUGUUGCUACUAUGCUUUUCUUUCCAUUUGCUUUCAAUUUUCAUCAGAGGGUAAGCUUGGAUGUGAUUUCAGUUAUGCCACUGAUCAUAGAUCCUAUUGACUUCCACAUGAAAUGGGUUUCCAAUUGAUAAGUCUUUUGUUUGCUCUCCAUGACCUUCUCUGUUUUUUUUUUUUUUAAAUUUGGGGCUACCUAUCAAUGAUCUGGACUUAAACCCCAGGUCUUGUGGCUACAUGUAGAGGUUCCAUGUGGCUGAAAUUUCAAUUUGCUUCUUGGUGAUUCCAGUAGCUGCAUUGGGGGGGCUUUAGGUGGCUGAAUUUUAGCUGGAUUCAUAGGCUAUAGGAGGCUAAAAUUUCAGUUUGUUCCAUGAGAUUUAAGUAGCUGUAGGUGGGAGACUUCAGGUGAAUGAAAUUUCAGUUUGGUUUCAGGAGAUUUAGGUGGUUGCAUGUGGAUAUCCGUGUAGCUGAAUUUCCAGCUGGGUUUCUUGAGUUCAGGGGGGCUGCAUUGUUAGUUGAUUAAUGAGCUCCGUGGCCUUAGUUUUAAUAAGGUUAGGUGGCUCGGGUUUGGCCUUCUACAAGGAACACAUUACAUUGUUUCGGUCGAUUCUCCCUCAUCCGGGCUCGGAAUUGAGUAUCGUUUUUUGUUGUUGGAUUCCUUAUUCUUCGAGGAAUCUGCUGGUAAAGUUUCAGAAUUUUUCUCAAUCGGUUUAACCGGUUGGAAACCAGUUCAACAGGUUCUGCUAGGCAACCCAGUUUUAUAAACACAUUACAUUGUUUCGGCUGGUUCUCCCUCAUCCGAGCUCGGAAUUGAGCACUGUUUUUUUUUUUUUUUUGGAUUCCUUGUUCUUUGAGGAAUCUGCUAGUAAAGUUUCAGAAUUUUUCUCUAUCAGUUGAACCGGUCGGGAAUCGGUUCAUCAGGUUCUACUAGGCAGCCCUAGUUUUAACAUGUUUUGACCCUCAUUUUUGUUGUGGCUUGAGCCCUUGGGUUCCAAGGCACUUGUGGGCCACCUUUAGGGUCACAGUUCGGUUUGGUUAGAUUUCAUGUGAGCCCACUUCAUGGAUGGGAAGAAUAUGGAUUAAGUAAGCAUGGUUUGGUUUGAUGGAAUUUAGAGGAAUAUGUGCAAAAGAAAGCAAACCAUUUAUUUCAUUUCGACCUGCUUCCCUCCCUUUUGGGUAUGAGAUUUGAUGCUUAUUGAGAGUGCAUGUUGUAUGCUUGUAUUACUUGCCUCACCUAUUUCUUACAACGCAUGGCUGGGGACCACAGGUAUGCAAUUCGGCUUUGGAUAAUGAAAUUCACAUGAAUGCUUGGUGCACAAUUGCUAUGUAUAUUUGUUGUGCAUUUGAUCUUAUUGACUGAGCUCUUAUGCAGCGUUUGGCUGGGGACCUCAGGUAUGCACUCUGAUUUUGACUUGUUGAGUGUAUGUGCAUGCUAAAUACUAGGCGGGUCUAUGUGAUUCAUGUCAUUUGUUUUGCCCAAGGUUUGUCUGAUCUUUGACCCAUAUGCUCCCAUAUACCCAGUUCAUUACUAGAAACCAAGUUCCGAGCCUAAAGGGGUGCUACCUCGCAUGAGGUAUCUUCCCGAUAGGUAACCUGAUCCCCGGACCCAGAAUCUAGUUUUUGCAUACCGUUUUUUCCUAACUGGAGUCAUGCUAGGGUUUUUGUUCUUACUUAAAUUUUUCCCAUUUAAAAAUAAAAAUAAAAAGUAAGUGGCGACUCCAAACAAAACCGUUCCUCACUAGGACGAAUUUUUCAAAACUCGAAAACCAGUUUUCCCUUUCACAUUUAAAAUAACGAGUUGCGUCGGUCGGUGGAUCGGGUGAGGGUCCACAAGUUUGGCAUUCAAAGCCAUAUUUUCAAUUUGACGUUUAGAGCCAUAUUUUCAAUUUGACAUUCAGAGCCAUGAUUUCAAGUUAGCUUUUUGAGCCACAUUUUUAGCAUUCAGAGCUAUCUUGUCUAUCUUUAGUUUGGCGUUUAGAGCUAUUGAUUGUUUUUAGUUCAACAUUCAAAACCAUCAUAUUGCCACUUUUUUGGCGUUCAGAGCCACCAUCUCUUCUCAGUUAUGGCGUUUAGAGCCACCAUCUAUUUGCAGUUUGGCGUUUAGAGCCACCAUAUCUUCUUAGUUAUGACGUUCAAAGCCACCAUCUCUUCUUACUUAUGACGGUCAGAGUCAUCCUUCUCAGUCUGGUGUUCAGAGUUGUAUCUUUAGUUUGGCGUUUAGAGCUAUUGUUUGUUUUUAGUUCAACAUUCAGAGUCAUCAUGUCUUUUUUUCGUUUGGCGUUCAAAGUCGCGUCUUCAGUUUGGCAUUUAAAGUCGUGUCUUCAUUAUGGCAUUUAGAGUCAUUGUCUAGCUUGGCAUUUGAUGCCACCAUCUUUCUUUAGUUUUGGCGUUCAGAGCCGUUAUGCAUACUCAUUCAGGCAUUUAGAGUCACCAUAUUUCCUCGUCAUUCGGAGUCAUAGCUCCUAACAUUCAUAUUCACUGGCAUUUCAUAUCUUGCCUUCACGAUUUUGCAUUAGUCCUCAUUUUCCCUACCUCAUUAUUUCGUGUUUAUCGCUUUUUCACCAUGUUCUUCUAGACUUCCCUUUCUGCUGCACAUGACACAGUCCUUUGAGCUCACGACACAUAUUUCGGUCAUAUUGUUGAGCACCCUACGCUUAGCAUUCUCAUGUAGUACACAUAUAGUCGUUAUUUUUGGACGCAUUCUUUCAUGUACUCAAGGUGGUUCGACCGUUACUCAUCUUUGACAUUGAUUUUCGAGUCACUUUUAGAGACGUCUUAGAAGGAGUCUGGGUCUUUGAUGCGGCUUCAAAGGCACUUUUCUUAUAGUCACUUUUCUCUUAGGAUUUUUAAGCCAUUUUAUGUAUUUGUUGGCCUGAGCGAGUUCAUGUCUUACUAGUGUCCCUUUGGGGGUCUCUUUUGUUCUUCGGUAGAGUUCACUUCAUUCCACUCACUAUCCACACUUUUUUUUCACUCUAGCGUUCAUAUUUCUUGCACUCAGGAGCUCUACCGAAGAGGGGAAUAAGUAUAAGCCAAAAUUUGAGGAUUUGGUAAAGUCACCCAUGUGUCUUAAAUCACAUUAACCAGUAAAUUAUAUAAUCUUAGCCGAAGGUCAAAAACAAUAAAAUUAAUCUCAAAGUGAAGAUUAAAUCGAAACCUCAGAGGUUUUUUUUAUUUUUAAUUUCGAGGCUUGUGUCAAGCACAUGAAACCUUAGUCCUUGAACAAGCAUUAACAUUUGUUUUUUCCUUUUUAAUUUCUAGUCCUACCGACUAUGCACCAUAGGAAUGGGGCUUAACUUCAACUUGUUAUAAUUAAUAUCUGUGCACAUUCAAAAUUUGUUCAUACACUGAGGCACUAUUGUCUUUUUUUUUUUUUUUUGGUUAGAAACAACUUAUUUUUAGAUUUGAAAUCUUUUUAUUUACUUAUUAUUUAUUUUUAAAUUUUUUUAAUUGAAUAAAAAAAUUAAAACAUUUGAAAUUUUUUUUUUUAAUGAAUGCCAAAAGUAACAAGUUAAAACCAAUUAGUAUAAUCUAUUAAAAUCGACUACCAAAACACAAUCCGAAAAAACUAACCUUUUCCUCAUCAUUAUUCAAUAUAAUUGAAAUGAACCUAUUAUUUUCUUUUUUCUUUUUUAAAUAUUUAAUAAAAAUAAAAUAUUAAAAAAAUUAAUUAAUGUUUAGCAUUAUUAAGCAUUAUUUAAUUUUAAGUUAUAUUUUGAAUUAAAUUAAAAAUAAAAAUAAAAAACCACCUAAGUCAAGAGGACAAGUGUGUGGUGAAAAAAACUUCUUUUGAUCACCUUUGUCCAUAACAUACUAAACUUUUUUCCUUUUUAAUCAGAACGAAUUCAGUAUCCUUACUCCAUGAUUUGGAUUUAUUGCGGGGGGACCAUCUCUCAAAUUGAAAUGUAUAGUAUAUCAUCUUUUUCUUUGGUCUAUAGGCUUGAAAAAUUAAAUUAUUGUUCCUUUUCCUAUAACAAUACUGUAAAUUAAUGAACAAUUAAUAAGUCUUCUCUAAUUAUAAAAAAUUAGAUGUAUAGGCCAUGCAUCUUCUCUACUUCAUUUGAAAGAUGAUGUAUAUAUGAAUGGAAUACCAUUCUUUGAUUCCAAAUAAGAUAAAUCUUAUUCAAACCACUACCACACUUCCUGUGAUGUCCUUUUUCAAUGGCUUAGACUCCUUUGUUUCUUUUUUUUUUUUCCCUUUUUUUUUCGUUCUUAUCCUUUAUUUAACCAAAAAAAAAAAAGGAUUAAAAGACCAACAAGACAAGCAGGUAGAAUCAGCCAAAUGGCAGUUGAAAACUUGAAAUGGAAUCUAACCUAGGAGAAGCAGAAGCAUGUGGUUGUUCAAAUCCUGUUUUCUGAAUAUGUUUGCAUGACAUUUAUAUAUACAAAUUAAGGAAACAAUCAACAAACACAAAGCCAUAAAUUACAGUAUUAUUAUUGUCUGAACAAAUUAAAUAAUAAUUAAACAGGGAGCAAUCAUGAAUCUUGCAACACAAGCAUACAAACAAUAGCAAUCCCAGUUGCUAAAACCCCACAUGAACAAAGAGCUAUAGCAUUGAGAACUUCAAACCAAACAUAUUAAAAACGUUACCUUUAGUUAACUAGAGCACAUUCUUUCCUAAUCUCACCAGACGAGCCGGUGAGAACUCCAAUUCUUCCCAUUUUAAUCAUGGACACACCAAAGUCCUCGAAGAAAGUAGAUCCAUGGGUAGUGGCCUGGAGCUUCACAUAAGCUUUUGUCUCACUGUCAUCCAGGAGAGCUGCAUCAGACACAAAAAGCCCUCUUCUUUUACCCACAAGUGUGUAGUAGCUCUCAUCAAAUGUCUUGAAGCUUCCAGGGUCCAUCUCUACAAGUGAAUUGGCAUCUCCUUGCUUGCAUUUGUUUUUCAACUUUGCUAUGUACUUUGGAUCCAAAUCCGGAUCAGUGUCGCCCUUUCCAGUGAAGUUGUAAAGGCGGCUUGAGAAGGAGGAGCAGUGAGAAGUCCCAAGGGUGUGCCCACCUAAGUAGUAGAACAGCUUGAAUGUAUUAGUCUUGUUAAUUUCCAUAUGUCAUCAAAGUCUUUAUAUAUUUGGCACUCAAACAUACCUGAUAACACCACUAGGUCUUUUACACUUAGACCCCUUUGUUGAAACCCUGAUUUCAAUUGGGUUAUGUUUGCAGUAGGCGGUAUAAGAUUUGUUAAGGCCUCUGUAAUAUUUGACACCCUUCCAUCUCUUCUUCCAGUUUCAACUUUCCAGGAUGGUCCUUUCAUCUGAAACCAUUCUACGCAGUUAACAACUUAUCAUUCAAAUUCUUAAUCCAUGUAUGCGUAUAUAUACAUAUAAAGAUCAUAUAACAUUAAUUACCGCGACGACCACAUCUCUAGCUACUAGGGCUAAGAUGUCAGAGCAUGAAACCACUCCAGGACAUGCUUUUUCUAAUGCAGACUUGACUCUAUCAAUAACUUGAUAUCCUCUAAGGCUUAAGUUUGGAAAUGCAUCUUUUUCAGCUUGCUGUGUCGAUGAGUUUAGCAGCACUGAACCCUCACAGCCCUGCAGACAC